rnacentral:rRNA from 1 species
GACGAACCGUGCGAACGUUAUUCGGAAUCACUGGGCUUAAAGCGCGUGUAGGUGGGGCGGCACGUCGGUCGCUGAAAUCCCCCGGCUUAACCGGGGGAACGGGCGCCGAUACGACCGCCCCUUGAGGGGCGUAGGGGGGGGCUGGAACUUCCGGUGGAGCGGUGAAAUGCGUUGAGAUCGGAAGGAACGCCCGUGGCGAAAGCGAGCCCCUGGACGUCAUCUGACACUGAGACGCGAAAGCCAGGGGAGCGAACGGG